GAUUUCGGCGGCACUACGAAGCAGACGUGCAUUUUAGAGCUACAUCAAGUAAUCUCUUGCAAGCCGAGAAGACCGGUUGUUUAAAGACACGUGGAAGAAAUUUACCACCAACCGAAUACUGAUCAGUAGGCCAAUAUAACAGCCGGCGAAGUUUAGGCCGUGUGGCCAUAGCCACGGGUGUGAACUUUCUCUAUCCACGGAAAGGCGAAAAUUUCGACGGAAUGCUGUUCGCAUAAGAAGCUUCGACGGCCACAGUAACAGCUUAAAUUUCACUGUGAAAGGAGCAACAAGCACGUAUGGCCUCGCAUAUAGCCUCAAUGCUCAGAUGUAGACUUUUGGUGAACACGCGUGCUUCUACAUAACCUAUAUCUUCGGAACGCCAAUGUGAAAAUGGACUCUGAAAAACCAUCUACAUAUAUAUAAGCAGCAGCCCUGCCUUCGUUAUGAAAUAUGCCAAAGAAAACUAACAGCGAUUUCAAAAUAAGAUCUUCGUAAAUCCAAAUUCUUAAUGGUGCAGCGUGGACCAACCAGACAGUAGAUCCAGAAGAACGAAUGACGGGAUGUAAUUUUAAUUGGAGCGCUGCCCUUGAAUUAUUCCUAGUAUAUAUAAUUUUUUUUUUAAGCCAAGUUAAACAAAUAUUAACUGAUCAUGUUUUUCUUACAAUGAUUUUUGCAAGGAACGAUGGUGCUGAUUUGAGCUCAAACAUCACUUUACUAAAUCAUCUUUCACCGACAUCAUUUAAAAUUCAUACUACAUCAUAUGUAAAACGCUAUAUUCGCACGUAAGUUGUAUCGUAUCCUCAAUGAGCAAAAACAAGUUAAUUAAAGACAUGAUCAAGAUAGCAUGCUCUUCUAGCAUAUAAAGUUUCAAAACUUUAAAAAUCAGUUCGUUUGAGAAAGAAAACAUAUAUUGUUAAAUAUGAUAGUCGGUAUAAGCGUUGAUAUAAUGAUCAAGAACAAGAUCAUUAAUAUUUCAUUAAAUGUAUCAGUAAUAUAAUGAUAUUCACUUUGAUGUAAA